rnacentral:lncRNA from 1 species
UGUUGCUAUGGCUUGCACAGUGGGAGCCGUAAGGGUCAGCAGAGAUCAGAGCCCCGCCAUUCUUCAUUCAAAGACAAAUAUCAGCAGUACAGUUUCUACCUGUCUUUCUGGAUCACUGAUGAACAAACAGAAGGGCCAAAUCCAAUGUAGUCAGCAGUCCUUCUGGGAAGCAACCCUGCUUCAGCUGGCAUUUGGUAAGGGCUGGAAAGAAGCCCAGUAAUCUGGUCAUUUGGGAGUUUCGGGAGAUUUGCCAUGACAUCUUAAGAUAGUCUGUCCCAGCAUAGUGGAACAUGUGUCAUCCUCAUCAUUUAUGCCUGCCUCAUGUGAACUCCAAGAACUGCAGAGCAAAAAAACAACUGCCUCAGUGAAGAUUUCUCCCAUCUUUUCUGUAAAAGUUCAUAUAUAUACAUGUUUAAUCUAUUUCAGCUACCAAAAGGACAAGGCUGUGGGUAGUCACUGUAAAACCACUACCCAAGGAAAAAGAUACUAAGCUGCUUUUCCCCAGGUCCCAUACUCUGUAUACUUCCUCUGCACUUCUGCCAGCUUCACUAAGGAUCUGUAUCUGUCCCUUUUGCACACCCAAAAUUCUAGUCAGAUGAAGUAUUUCAGGCUGAGCUAAAUAUCUCCUCGCUUGUUAUUAGUACUUCUGUAAUAAAGUGACUCCUGUAGAGCA